AAUCUAUGGUGUGGAUAUUGAACUAAAAGCAAUUUAAAAUGUUCCCAGGCUUCAUGGAAUGGUUCACCUUCAAUUUGAGAGAAAGCGGCUAUUUUACCUCGUAGUUC